AGUGAACGCUGGCGGCGUGCUUAACACAUGCAAGUCGAACGAGAACGGAUUAUAGCUUGCUAUAAUUGUCAGCUAAGUGGCGCACGGGUGAGUAAUAUAUAGAUAACCUGCCCUCUAGAAAGGAAUAACAGUUGGAAACGACUGCUAAUGCCCUAUAUGCCUUUAAUACAUAAGUAUGCAAGGGAAACGCUUUAGUGCUAGAGGAUGGGUCUGUAUGGUAUCAGCUUGUUGGUGAGGUAAUGGCUCACCAAGGCUAUGACGCCUAAACUGGUUUGAGAGGAUGAUCAGUCACACUGGAACUGAGACACGGUCCAGACUCCUACGGGAGGCAGCAGUGGGGAAUAUUGCACAAAUGGACGAAAGUCUGAUGCAGCAACGCCGCGUGGAGGAUGACACAUUUCGGUGCGUAAACUCCUUUUAUAUAGGAAGAUAAAUGACGGUACUAUAUGAAU
rnacentral:rRNA from 1 species